AAUGAUGCACUUUUCAAGGAAAGAACAAAAAAUGUGCAUCAAUAUUUGGCUAGAUGGGUGUAUGAAGCCGGGAUCCCUUUUCAUGCUAUUGAUAAUGAUAGCUUCAAGAGGUUUGUGGAAGCGGUUGGUCAAUUUGGCCCGGGUUACAAACCUCCAAGCCAAUACCAAUUAAGGGAGCCAUUAUUGAAGGAUGAAGUAGAGAGAACUAAAGGUUUAUUGAAGAAGCAAGAAGAAGAGUAGGUUUUGAAUGGUUGCUCUAUCAUGACCGAUGCUUGGAGCGAUCGAAAAAUAAGAAGUAUCAUGAAUUUGUGUGUCAAUUGUGCGGAAGGCACAACUUUUCUUUCUUCUAAGGAGGCAUCGGAUGAGUCACACACCGGGGCAUAUAUUUUUGAAUAUGUGGACAAGUGUAUUGAAGAAAUUGGGCCACAAAAUGUGGUUCAAGUUGUGACGGACAAUGCUUCAAAUAACAUGGCGGCAAAAGAUUUAUUGAAGUUGAAAAGGCCAAACAUAUUUUGGAUUUCUUGUGCAACUCACACCAUCAAUCUUAUGCUUCAAGGAAUUGACACUCAACCUAGAUUCAAAGGAGUAAUUGAGAAGGCAAAGACUUUCACCAUCUACAUUUAUGCAUAUCACAAGACUUUGGCAAUGAUGAGAAAGUUCACAAAGAAAAGAGACAUAGUGAGGCAGGGAGUCACAAGAUUUGCAACCGCUUUUCUCACUUUGCAAAGCUUGAUGGAGAAGAAGAAUGACUUGAGAGGUAUGAUUACUAGUGAUGAAUGGAAUGAAAGCAAACAUGGAAAGAGUGUAAAAGGGAAGCGGCGGGGAAUAUUGCUUUGAGUGCUGCUUUUUGGAAUAGAGCUAGUCUUUGCUUGAAAGUGUUUGCCCCUUUAGUCAAGGUGCUUCGCCUUGUUGAUGGGGAUAGAAAGCCAUCAAUGGGCUUUGUGUAUGGAGAAAUACUUAGAGCAAAGGAGGAGGUUAAAAAGGCAUUCAAAGAUCAAGAAACUCACUAUCGUCCAAUCAUAGACAUUAUUGAUGGGAAAUACCGGGAUCGACUUGAUUCUCCUUUGCAUUUAGCAGGCUACAUCUUGAAUCCUUACUACACAUAUGCCGAUCCAAGCAUUGGAAAUGAUGAUAUUGUCAUGGAAGGGUUUCUUACUUGUGUUUAGACAUUCUUUAAUUUCCCGAUGACAUUGAAACUCAAAGUAAGGUGACAAAUGUAGAAUUGCACAAGUAUUUGAAGAAAGAGGGUGUAUUUGGUAGAGCUUUGGCUAAGGCGGGAUGCGCACAAGAUAAUGAAAAUUAUAAUCCGGUUGGUUGGUGGAGUAUUUAUGGAAACCAAGUACCGCUUUUGCAAAGAAUGGCUAAAAGACUACUUGGUUUGACCACAAGUUCAUCCAGAUGUGAAAGAAAUUGGAGUACUUUUGAGGGGAUACAUACAAAGAAAAGGAAUAGACUAGAUACAACAAGGUUGAACAAUCUAGUGUAUGUCCAAUUCAAUGCAAGGAUUAUGAACAAGAAAAGAAGAGAGAAAGAGAAGAAUGUGGAUGUACUACUUGCUAGUGAAGCAACUGUGGCACAAGGAUGGAUUGUUGAUGGUGGUGAUGAAGAUGUUGAGUCGGAUCUUAAUAGUGAAAUGGUUGGAGAUGAUUUGGGAGUGGGUAGUGGUUUAGAGCCUCGGAGAAGUUCUACACUUCAAGAAAAGAGAACUUCAUGAGGAUGAUUUUGUAUCGGAUGAAGAGGAAGAAGAUGAAAUAGACUUUGAGUUUGAGACCGACACAGAAGAAGUGCAAGAGGGAUAUGGAGAAGAAGAAUUUGAGGCAUAGGCUAGCAAGAAUCUAAUUUGUUUCUUUCAAAUUGUUUUUUUUAUAAUUUCUAAGAACAUUGUUGUUGAACAUUUUGUCUAUUUUUGAAGUAUUUUUGCUAUUUUAGAACAU